CUUGUUUGAGACAGACAGGUAUUGGAGUGAGAGAGUCAGAGAGAAAUAUUAAGGAGAAAGUCUCUAAAACAUGACCGCUGCUCUGGAAAGACAUAUUGGGUUUGUAAAGCCCUUCAGUGCAAACCCUUUUCUCAACUAUCAGUGGAUGCACAACGGACAGUGCCUUUCACAUGCCCAUGAAGCUGCUGAAGGAUGUGGAGACACCUGCAGAAGCCAAAGGGGUCACCACCACUUUGGGAAGCAGGAACAAAGAGAGCAGCAGAAAACAGCAGUCUGGUGCAUUGGAGAGGUGGCUGACUCUGCUCAGACACAGACACACAGCUCUCUGUGAAGUAAUCAUCUUUUGCGGCCUGAUUAGGACUUACUCACUGAUGUAAUGGCUCCACAGAAACCAGCUUCCAACAGGGGUAAUAAAGUCCAAAGGACAGCAGCAGUAGAAGGUUACAGGUCUGUGGUGAAGAGAAGAUGCCUUUGGAUGGAUUUCUGGACAGGAUUUCCAUCACUGGGGGAAACAACUGUGUUCUGGCCGCCUCUCUUGCAUAGCUUCCAGCCCAUGAAGAGACGUCACUUCCCAGUCCUGCUCCUAUAGCAGCACACAGCUCUUCCGUGAGGAUCUGGGGGAAUUCUAGCACAAGGAUACAGGAAAGGCAAUCAAUGCCUAUGAUAAGAUGCACUCCAGCUAACUGCUGUAAUUUUUCCUCACUGGGUUGCAGAUGACCUAAUAGGCUCUUUUCUCAUCUCUAAUUUCUAUGAAUCUGCAAUCCUAUUAUUUAUAGUAUAUCUUGAGGAGUAAAUGAUGUAAUUAUACCCUUCACCGUAGCACUUCAGGAUCUAGUGUAAUAGAACUAAAUAUGCAAUUAUGUGGUUAGUAAAUGUAACAGUACAAAAUUCAAAAUCUAUAUCCACGUACUGUAGCUUCAUAAGAAGAAUUAGUUUCCUGUUAUGUACACAGCAGAUGUAAUGUAAUUAUUGCUAACUGCAAAGUAUCACCAGACAUUCAUAUGACACAAAUGAAAAAUGCCACUCCAGCCAAUUCUUCAUUCAAACAUAUGAAAAUGGGAGGAUUCUCACAAUUCUGUCUUAUCAGUGAAGUGUAGGCACAUACAUUUGAUCCUCUACAUAUCAAGUCAAUCCUUCCCAGGCUUACAUACACACAGAACUCACAAAUAAUAUAUAUGCAAGCACAAAGUGAUGGAUUGGAUUCACCUCUGGUGUUAUUCCAGCAACUUCAGCUGAAUUACAGGAUGGUGGAAGAUAAUCCGUUGUGCAACCUGUGUUGAUUACAGUUGAGAGAAAUAAAACCGGG
ensembl:lncRNA